rnacentral:rRNA from 1 species
UGGGGAAUUUUGGACAAUGGGGGCAACCCUGAUCCAGCAAUGCCGCGUGAGUGAAGAAGGCCUUCGGGUUGUAAAGCUCUUUUGUCAGGGAAGAAACAGCAGCUCUAACACAGCUGUGAAUGACGUUACCUGAAGAAUAAGCACCGGCUAACUACGUGCCAGCAGCCGCGGUAAUACGUAGGGUGCAAGCGUUAAUCGGAAUUACUGGGCGUAAAGCGUGCGCAGGCGGUCAUAUAAGACAGGUGUGAAAUCCCCGGGCUUAACCUGGGAAUGGCAUCUGUGACUGUAUGACUAGAGUGUGUCAGAGGGGGGUAGAAUUCCACGUGUAGCAGUGAAAUGCGUAGAUAUGUGGAGGAAUACCAAUGGCGAAGGCAGCCCCCUGGGAUAACACUGACGCUCAUGCACGAAAGCGUGGGGAGCAAACAGG